UACGGGGGGGCAAGCGUUGUUCGGAAUUACUGGCGUAAAGGGCUCGUAGGUGGCCAACUAAGUCAGACGUGAAAUCCCUCGGCUUAACCGGGAACUGCGUCUGAUACUGGAUGGCUUGAGUUCGGGAGAGGGAUGCGGAAUUCCAGGUGUAGCGGUGAAAUGCGUAGAUAUCUGGAGGAACACCGGUGGCGAAGGCGGCAUCCUGGACCGAUACUGACGCUGAGGAGCGAAAGCCAGGGGAGCAAAGCGGG
rnacentral:rRNA from 1 species